rnacentral:tRNA from 1 species
GGAGAGGUGGCAGAGUGGUCGAUUGCACCGGUCUUGAAAACCGGCAGGGCGCAAGCUCUCGGGGGUUCGAAUCCCCCCCUCUCCG